UCUGUUUAUUUUUCCCUUGUUUUUGGAUCGUCGUUGCUUAUUUCUAAUAGCUAGGAAGUGCAUUGUCAAUUUAAUCACGACAUCACAGUUGAAAUGUAUUACCUAACAUAUGAUAAUAUCACAAGAUGGCGGUCAAACAAAACUUUGGUGAAGUGUUAUUACUCUUUUGACCAGUGGAUGCCUAUAAAUGUAUACCUAAAAGGCUAAAAGUCUCCAAUCAACUCUCAGAUCAAGUCAAUCAUAUUGUCUUGAAUUUCCCAUAACAUUUUUGCGUUAAUUUGCUUGAACAUGGCUAAACUCAAGAAGCUAAUAUUCAUGCUCAACUUUGCUUUGCUUCUUGUGCUCCUCAUCUCCACCAAAGUGGCUGCAAGGGAACUUUUUGGGGCGCCCAAGAUUCACAUAACGGCGCGGGAUCAACCACAGGGCCACAAUUAUCCUCAUCCUAAUCCUUGAUCAACAUACAGAAGUCCCAUUGGAAAUCAACUGUUGAGAGAAAGCUGAACGAGACUUUUAGUCAUAUGCGUAAUUUGAUUUAGUGUGCCAGUUAAUAUAGCAAUUUUUCAAUUGAAGAUGGUUGAUAUGAAAAAGCUGAUAUUGAAUCUUGCUUUGCUGUUUGUUCUUCUCUUCUUCGGGAAAGUGGUCGCAGCUCGGGCGCCUUCAAUUUGGAUAUCUGAUCAUCACAUUGCACAUAAAAUCCAUAUGGAUGAUCCUCGGAACCACCAUUAUCAUCGUCAUUAGACACAUGCACGUGUUUUGAAGAAGAUUAU